rnacentral:rRNA from 1 species
AGAGCGAACGCUGGCGGCAGGCCUAACACAUGCAAGUCGAACGGACCCUUCGGGGUUAGUGGCGGACGGGUGAGUAACACGUGGGAACGUGCCUUUUGGUUCGGAAUAGCUCCUGGAAACGGGUGGUGAUGCCGAAUGUGCCCUUCGGGGGAAAGAUUUAUCGCCAUUAGAGCGGCCCGCGUCUGAUUAGCUAGUUGGUGAGGUAAAGGCUCACCAAGGCUACGAUCAGUAGCUGGUCUGAGAGGAUGACCAGCCACAUUGGGACUGAGACACGGCCCAAACUCCUACGGGAGGCAGCAGUGGGAAUUUUGGACAAUGGGCGAAAGCCUGAUCCAGCAAUGCCGCGUGAGUGAUGAAGGCCUUAGGGUGUAAAGCUCUUUUACCCGGGAUGAUAAUGACAGUACCGGAGAAUAAGCUACCGGCUAAACUCCGUGCUAGCAGCCGC